rnacentral:rRNA from 1 species
AUUGAACGCUGGCGGCAGGCCUAACACAUGCAAGUCGAACGAGUGGCGGACGGGUGAGUAAUGUCUGGGAAACUGACUGAUGGAGGGGGAUAACUACUGGAAACGGUAGCUAAUACCGCAUACCAUCGGAUGUGCCCAGAUGGGAUUAGCUAGGAGGUGGGGAAAAGGCUCAACUAGGCGACGAUCCAUAGCUGGUCUGCGAGGAGUACCAGCCACACUGGAACUGUGACACGGUCCCGCUUCCUACGGGAGGCAGCAGUGGGUAAGAUUGCACAAUGGGCGCAAGCCUGAUGCAGCCAUUCCGCGUUUAUGAAGAAGGCCUUCGGGUUGUAAAGUACUUUCAGCGGGGAGGCGUUACCCGCAGAAGAAGCACCGGCUAACUCCGUGCCAGCAGCCGCGGUAAUAC